UAAUGGGUGAUAGCGUGCCUUUUGUAGAAUGAACCGGCGAGUUACGAUUUGUUGCAAGGUUAAGCGGAAAAAGCGGAGCCGUAGCGAAAGCGAGUCUGAAUAGGGCGCAUAAGUAACAGGUCGUAGACCCGAAACCAGGUGAUCUACCCAUGUCCAGGAUGAAGGUAAGGUAAUACUUACUGGAGGUCCGAACCCACGCACGUUGAAAAGUGCGGGGAUGAGGUGUGGGUAGCGGAGAAAUUCCAAUCGAACUUGGAGAUAGCUGGUUCUCUCCGAAAUAGCUUUAGGGCUAGCCUCGAGGUAAAGAGUCAUGGAGGUAGAGCACUGUUUGGACUAGGGGCCCUUCUCGGGUUACCGAAUUCAGAUAAACUCCGAAUGCCAUGUACUUAUACUCGGGAGUCAGACUGCGAGUGAUAAGAUCCGUAGUCGAAAGGGAAACAGCCCAGACCACCAGUUAAGGUCCCCAAAUAUAUGUUAAGUGGAAAAGGAUGUGGGGUUGCUUAGACAACCAGGAUGUUGGCUUAGAAGCAGCCACCAUUGAAAGAGUGCGUAAUAGCUCACUGGUCGAGUGACCCCGCGCCGAAAAUGUACCGGGGCUAAACAUAUUACCGAAACUGUGGAUGAACCUCUUUAGAGGUUCGUGGUAGGAGAGCGUUCUAAGGGCGGUGAAGUCAGACCGGAAGGACUGGUGGAGCGCUUAGAAGUGAGAAUGCCGGUAUGAGUAGCGAAAGAAGGGUGAGAAUCCCUUCCACCGAAUAUCUAAGGUUUCCUGAGGAAGGCUCGUCCGCUC
rnacentral:rRNA from 1 species